rnacentral:rRNA from 1 species
UACGAAGGGGGCUAGCGUUGCUCGGAAUUACUGGGCGUAAAGAGCUCGUAGGCGGUUUGUCGCGUCUGCUGUGAAAACCCGAGGCUCAACCUCGGGCCUGCAGUGGGUACGGGCAGACUAGAGUGCGGUAGGGGAGAUUGGAAUUCCUGGUGUAGCGGUGGAAUGCGCAGAUAUCAGGAGGAACACCGAUGGCGAAGGCAGAUCUCUGGGCCGUAACUGACGCUGAGGAGCGAAAGCAUGGGGAGCGAACAGG